UGACCCGUGGUGUAAUGGUAGCACUGCAGAUUCUGAUUCUGCCUGUUGGGGUUCGAGUCCCUGCGGGUCAACCA
rnacentral:tRNA from 1 species